rnacentral:rRNA from 1 species
GACGAACGCUGGCGGCGUGCUUAACACAUGCAAGUCGAACGGAAAGGCCCUGCUUUUGUGGGGUGCUCGAGUGGCGAACGGGUGAGUAACACGUGAGUAACCUGCCCUUGACUUUGGGAUAACUUCAGGAAACUGGGGCUAAUACCGGAUAGGAGCUCCUGCUGCAUGGUGGUGGUUGGAAAGUUUCGGCGGUUGGGGAUGGACUCGCGGCUUAUCAGCUUGUUGGUGGGGUAGUGGCUUACCAAGGCUUUGACGGGUAGCCGGCCUGAGAGGGUGACCGGCCACAUUGGGACUGAGAUACGGCCCAGAGUCCUACGGGAGGCAGCAGUGGGGAAUAUUGCACAAUGGGCGGAAGCCUGAUGCAGCAACGCCGCGUGCGGGAUGACGGCCUUCGGGUUGUAAACCGCUUUCGCCUGUGACGAAGCGUGAGUGACGGUAAUGGGUAAAGAAGCACCGGCUAACUACGUG